UUCCCUCUCUUCGCCUCUUCCCCGCCGGGCUUCCCCUUCUCCUCUCACCGCCACCUCCCAUCAUCAAUGUCAUCCCCCUCUCGCCGCCCCUUUCUCCGUAGAUCCACCGCCAUCUCCUUGGCGUCUCCCUCUUCACGCACACGCGACGUCCCCUGUGGCUAUCGCUGCAUCAGCGGCCCGUAAGCCCUUCUGCCCCUUUUCUUUUCUCAUCCCAAUCUUCUCGUCGACAUCAGCUGCCCUCGCACUAACGGUCAGGAGCACCAUCCGGAAGGCUAGCCGCCAUCCUGAGGGUUUGCCGCUCAUCUCCUCAUCACUGAUCUUGAGCUGCUGCCGCUGGACCUCCGACGUCAACCCUUAUGAGAGCCGCUAGACACCCCAUAGACUUGCUACCACUCUUCUGUUGUGCCUACUACGGUGAUUUCACCACGCCGAUGAAGGAGAAGGGUUUGGAUUCAAUUUGAAGUAUACCCUUGGACUUGAAUAAUGUUUAGCGUGACUUACAUUUGAGGCGGAUAAAGGUAAAGGAAAGAUGGACUAGCGGAGGCUGGUGGUCAAUGCAUUGAUAAGGAUG